rnacentral:rRNA from 1 species
CGAUAAGCUGUCGAAGGUUAAUUACUGAAGGCGAACGCAUUCUUCUGGGUGAGAUGGCAGACGGGUGAGUAACACGUGGGAACGUGCCCUCCGGUCUGGGAUAACCCUGGGAAACUAGGGCUAAUACCGGAUACGUGCUUUGGCAGAAAGGUUUACUGCCGGAGGAUCGGCCCGCGUCUGAUUAGCUAGUUGGUGGGGUAACGGCCUACCAAGGCGACGAUCAGUAGCUGGUCUGAGAGGAUGAUCAGCCACACUGGGACUGAGACACGGCCCAGACUCCUACGGGAGGCAGCAGUGGGGAAUAUUGGACAAUGGGCGCAAGCCUGAUCCAGCCAUGCCGCGUGAGUGAUGACGGCCUUAGGGUUGUAAAGCUCUUUUCUCCGGGACGAUAAUGACGGUACCGGAGGAAUAAGCCCCGGCUAACUUUCUGCCAGCCGCCGCGGUAAUACUAAGGGGGCUAGCGUUUCUUGGAAACCCGGGCCUAAAGGGCGCGUAGGCCGGGUUUUAAGUCCGGGGGGAAAACCCUUGGCUCAACCACAGAAUGGCCUUCGAUACUGGGACGCUUGAAUCUGGUAAAGGUUGGUGGAACUGCCAGUGUAAAGGUGAAAAUUCUAUAGAUAUUCGCAAGGAACCACCCGUGGUAAAAGGCGCCAACUUGUCCCAUUUCUGAACCCUUAGGCCUCAAAAGCUGGGGGGGGAAAAAAGGGUUUAUCGAUCCCCUGUGGAGUUCCCCCCCCCUAAACGAAUGAAUGCCUACCUGUUGGGGGGUGCAUGGCACCGUAAUUUUCCCCUCCUUAACCUAUUUACGCAUUCCCCCCGGGGG